UGUCGUCCACACAUCACCACACGAGGUCAGUGUUGGCAUGAGCGCGUGUGUAUGCCUGGAUGUGUGUGCAUAUUAAGAUUAAGAAUCUGAGAGUUGUUUAUGAGAAUAGUCAUGUUUAAUCGUGUCAGUGAGCACAUAUAUAUUUCUUUGUUAGGAAGAAAUUGUUCAACAGAAGAAUGAGAAAUUAAAGAAAGAAAUAUGAAGUAAAGUGAUAGACAGGAUAUUUUUGUUUGUAUUUUCAGAACUGUUGAUCAUUUUAUUUUAUUGUACUUACCUGUUAUGUUUCAUAUUUGCCUGUGAAAAUAAAUGUUAAAAGAAAGCACCAUUGUGA